CAAAAGGUUUUUUUGAAAACUACAAUUCAUUGACAAACAAAAUCAA
rfam:Ovis aries breed Texel chromosome 2, whole genome shotgun sequence.